UACGGAGGGUGCGAGCGUUAAUCGGAAUUACUGGGCGUAAAGGGUGCGUAGGCGGCCGAGCGAGUCGAAUGUGAAAGCCCCGGGCUUAACCUGGGAAUUGCAUCCGAUACUGUUCGGCUAGAGUGCGGUAGAGGGUGGUGGAACUCCAGGUGUAGCGGUGAAAUGCGUAGAUAUCUGGAAGAACACCAGUGGCGAAGGCGGCCACCUGGACCGUAACUGACGCUGAGGCACGAAAGCGUGGGGAGCAAACAGG
rnacentral:rRNA from 1 species